GUCUAUGGCCAUGCCACCCUGAACGUGCCGAUCUUGUCUGAUCUCGGAAGCUAAGCAGGGUUGGGCCUGGUUAGUACUUGGAUGGGAGACCACCUAAGAAUACCAGAUGCUGUAGGCA
rnacentral:rRNA from 1 species